AUUCAUCAAAAGCUGUCUGUCUUCUACAAGGGAUUGGCUUAUAUCAUCAAAGAAAUAAAAACAGAACGUUGAAACUAGGAGAAAUAAAGACAAAGCGUUGAAAACUAGGAGAAAUAAAAACGGAGCAUUGAAAAUAGGAGAUAUAGUAAAGGGCAUGGAAACUAUAAACUAGUAAAAGCGUCACGCGAGCUUCCAAGGUGUCUUUCAAACUUCCGGGAUGGACUCAAGAUGUCGUUAUGGCUUCUCGGUUUCGUCGAGCUUUAAUGCGGGCCGAUCUUCUUGGUCGAGAGAGCCGGUCUUCAAUGUGGGCUGCAUCAUCCUCCCCAUCUUUAAAAGAAUUCGUCCUCGAAUUCUUGCCAGCAUCAUCAGAAGAAUCUCCCACCCUACUAGGUGCCAACGUAAUCUUCUUGCCUCCAAAUUCAAAAGAAUAUGUAUUUCGAUAACCAUCAUGCAUAGUCCUCUUAUCGAAUUGCCAUGGUCGACCAAGAAUAAUGUGACUAGCAUCCAUCGGCAGAACAUCACACCAUAUUUUGUCACUAUAAACAGAACCAAUGGAUAGAUUAACAAGGCAUCGUUUUGAAACGAUUACCUCAGCACCUAUCUUCAACCACAACAUUUUAUAAGGCGUAGGGUGCGCUUUUAAUUCCAACUUUAGCUUGUUUGCCGCUACUUCAGAAAUUAUAUUCUCACAACAACCAGAGUCAAUAAUUAAUUGACAUACCUUUCCCAUGAUUGUGCAAGCAGAAUGGAAAAUAUUGGUACGUAGCCACCUAUCUCCAGUGUCAUCUCGAGGAGUAGGAAAAUUUUUCCUCACCAUAAGAAGUUCGCCAGUGUCAGCAUGCACUAUUUGUUCAUCAUCCGCAGCUUCUUCAUCAUUUUUCAACUUCUCUUCAAGUGGAUCCUCAGCAUUCUCGUCAGAAUCAUUAUCCACCAAGAAGGCUUUACCGGCUGGUCGAUUCUUAUUGAUUCGACAAUUGCUAGCACGAUGACCCAACUCCCCACAAGAAUAGCAACGUAUUUCGGAUGUAGCAGGUUGCUUCGAAUCAUGAGGUUGAGUAGAAGGCUUACUAGCAGAUUGCUGUCUCCGAGAAUGAGAGCGCUCCAUUUUGAGUGCCCGUUGGUGUGCAUCUCCUAAGUCCCAAAUGUCGAGGACUUCCAAGGCGUCUUGAAUGUAAAAUUGAAGACCGUUCAAGUAUUUGUUCACAAGCACAUCCUCUGGGUCCUGGAUAUUGUUACGAAUCACCAACUCAUUGAAUUCAUUGGUGUAUUGGUCCACCGUUCGCGUACCUUGUGUUAGAUUUUGGUACCGUUGAUAGAGCUCUCUCUUAUAUCCUUUGGGGAGAAAAUAUUUUUGAAUCUUGCCCUCCAUCUUUCUCCACGAAGUGACUGGUGCUUUGCCAACGGCUUGGCGAGUUUGUUUUUCACGUCUCCACCAAGCAAUCGCCUUGCCUCGAAAUCGCAUAGCAAUGAUCCCAAUGCGACGAUUCUCCGGAACAUUUCGAUGCUCAAACACCUCAUUCACAAGUGUUAGCCAAUCAACAAUUUCAUCAGGAGACUCAUUACCUGUAAAUUUUGGAACAUCUUUCUUGAUUUCCUUUUCCCAAUCUGGCUCACGAAUAUGUUGUAAACGAUGUCGAACAUGCCUCCGACCGUGAAUAGAUUGAACACUCUCCGAAGAGGAAGAGUCACCAUGGGAAUCUUCAGUCCUGGAACGGGGUGGAGAAUUAUUUGCUUCAGCCCUCAAACGCUGAACUUCUUGCGUCAAUUCAUCAAUUUGUUGUUGCAUAUUCUCAGCGAGUGUGUGCAAUUCAUUGAGGGGAAGGGUUCUGCCGCCACGACGCCUAGCUUGUCUUGGAGGCAUUGUCCUCUCCUCCAAAGCUCUGAUACCAAAUGAUGCAAGCCUAGGGGAGGCUUUCUCAAACAGUAGGAUCGGGAGAGUGACUCGCGCACAAGAAACGGGACGAUCAGUAAUUUCAGCACUGCGCAAGCUCAGGAGAACAGUCGUAUCUUUGUCGAUACAGAUCGGAUCGACCUGAUUCCAAAGCCAAAUGAACAAAGACUUCUGGAUCUACAAUUUCUGUGUUUUGGGUUUUCUGAAAUAAGCACUGUAGGAUGGUCGAAAAUGGGUUGGAAAUAACGAACAGAAUAGGAAAAGAUAGAAACUUCUUUGGUUGCUCUUCUAGGCCUCCAAGGAAGUUGAGGGGGGGCACCGAUUCUUCUAGAUCGAUGACUGCAACUCUUCAAGGAUGCAGAUUUCGAAAGCUCCGACUCUUCAAGGACGGAGUGAAAACUCUUCUAGGUUUUCAAGGAGAUGAACUCUACAAGGUUCACGAUACUUGCUUCAAGCAAAGUUUUUCAUUCAUCAAAAGCUGUCUGUCUUCUACAAGGGAUUGGCUUAUAUCAUCAAAGAAAUAAAAACAGAACGUUGAAACUAGGAGAAAUAAAGACAAAGCGUUGAAAACUAGGAGAAAUAAAAACGGAGCAUUGAAAAUAGGAGAUAUAGUAAAGGGCAUGGAAACUAUAAACUAGUAAAAGCGUCACGCGAGCUUCCAAGGUGUCUUUCAAACUUCCGGGAUGGACUCAAGAUGUCGUUAUGGCUUCUCGGUUUCGUCGAGCUUUAAUGCGG
rnacentral:lncRNA from 1 species